ensembl:piRNA 21ur-14044 ncRNA
UUUCACAAUUUUCCUAACGUU